rnacentral:rRNA from 1 species
GACGUAGGGCGCGAGCGUUUGUCCGGAUUUAUUGGGCGUAAAGAGCUCGUAGGCGGCUUGUCGCGUCGUCCGUGAAAACCUGGGGCUCAACCCCAGGCUUGCGGUCGAUACGGGCAGGCUGGAGUUCGGUAGGGGAGACUGGAAUUCCUGGUGUAGCGGUGAAAUGCGUAGAUAUCAGAAGGAACAUCAGUGGCGAAAGCGGCUUCCUGGUCCAGUACCGACGUUCAGGCACGAAAGCGUGGGGAGCAAACAGG